CUUCUUCGAUUUGCUGCGGGCAAAUAAAAUGAAUAUGUGCAUCAAUGGCACCGGCGGUGAGUAUCUGUCCUUCACCGGCAAUAAUUUCAGUGCCGGGGCCUAUUUCAAUGGUGACAUUCGCUUGAAUAUCCGGAUUACCGGCUUUACCUAUGGUGGCGAUUCGGCCGUUUUUUAAAGCCACGUCUGCUUUUAUAAUGCCCCAGUGAUCCAGAAUAAGCGCAUUGGUAAUAACAGUAUCCGGCGUAUCCUCGCAAGAGGCCUGGCUCUGGCCCAUACCAUCGCGUAU
rnacentral:sRNA from 1 species